UGGGGAAUUUUGGACAAUGGGCGAAAGCCUGAUCCAGCAAUGCCGCGUGUGUGAAGAAGGCCUUCGGGUUGUAAAGCACUUUUGUCCGGAAAGAAAUCCUUGGCUCUAAUACAGUCGGGGGAUGACGGUACCGGAAGAAUAAGCACCGGCUAACUACGUGCCAGCAGCCGCGGUAAUACGUAGGGUGCAAGCGUUAAUCGGAAUUACUGGGCGUAAAGCGUGCGCAGGCGGUUUUGCUAAGACCGAUGUGAAAUCCCCGGGCUCAACCUGGGAACUGCAUUGGUGACUGGCAGGCUAGAGUAUGGCAGAGGGGGGUAGAAUUCCACGUGUAGCAGUGAAAUGCGUAGAGAUGUGGAGGAAUACCGAUGGCGAAGGCAGCCCCCUGGGCCAAUACUGACGCUCAUGCACGAAAGCGUGGGGAGCAAACAGGAUUAGAUACCCUGGUAGUCCACGCCCUAAACGAUGUC
rnacentral:rRNA from 1 species